AGAAACUUAGGAUAAUCUGCCAUUAAACCGAAGGCCUUCAAAGCCUUAAACAAGAGUUAAACCCUCUUAGUUUCUG
rnacentral:tRNA from 1 species